UAUCUUUUAUGUUAAUUAUUGUAAGUUUUUAUAAAACUAAUUCCAUUAUAGUAUUAUUUCCUUUUUGGAAUUUUCCCCUUAACAAUUAUGAAAAGCUAAAACACAAUUGGGUGAGCUAAAGUGGUAAACCCAACCCAUUGAUGGUGUUUAGAAAUAUUUUACAAUAAUUAAAAUUAUUUGAAUGGUUACUUACAUUCACCAAAUGCUAUAAACUAUCUUAUUAAAGUAAAACUUUUUUUGUAAUUUUUACUAUAAGUUGAUCAAACAAAUUUUCAUUUAUUUCAUCCAAAGAAAAAAAAUAUAUGAAUUCCGUUAUCAAAUUCGUUUAUGUUUCGAUUAUUUACAUUUCACUACUUUUUGUUUUAAUCGAUUCUGCUCGAAUUUCUACGGGUCGACCCAUCCCACCUAUAUUUCCUUGCAAUGUUUAUGAUGACUGUCCAUGGGAUUUGUGUCUUAAUGCUGUAGGUGUGUUUUGCAUGAAUGGUGCUUGUGGGUGCUUAUAGAGGAAUUUUAGUUUAUUAAUUGAGUUGAAAAAUAAAUCCAUAUUAUUAAACACCUGUCA